UCGAGAAGAACUUUACCAGGCCUUGACAUCCUGGGAACCCUCCCGAAAAGGAGGGGUGCUUUGGGGGCNCCCAGCCAGAGGUGCCAUGCCGUUGUUCACAUCNUGUGUUGNGAGAUUGGGUNAAAUCUCCNAAAAAGAGCAACCCCCUUCCCUNGUUCCCACCAGNUAUGGUNGGGAAUUUCAGGGGGGUGCCCGGGGCAAACCGGGAGGAAGGUGGGGAGGAGGUNAGUUCCAUGGCCCUAAGGGCCGGGGUUCCCCACGUGUUCCAAUGNCCGGUCCAGAGGGUGGCCACCUCGGGAGAGGGGGCAANUCCAAAAAACCGGUCCCAGUUCGGAUUGGAGUUUGCAACUUGACUCCCNGAAGUUGGAAUCGCUANUAAUNGCNGNACAA
rnacentral:rRNA from 1 species